GCAUCCAUGGCUGAGUGGUUAAAGCGCCCAACUCAUAAUUGGUAAAUUUGCGGAUGUG
rnacentral:tRNA from 1 species